UGGGCAACGGUAGGUCAGUAUGCCCCGAAUAUCCCGGGCUACACGCGAGCUACAAUGGUUGGUACAAUGGGGUAUACUACCCCCGAAAGGGGAACGGGAAUCUCCUAAAACCAAUCUUAGUUCGGAUUGAGGGCUGCAACUCGCCCUCAUGAAGCUGGAAUCCGUAGUAAUCGCGUUUCAACAGAACGCGGUGAAUACGUCCCUGCUCCUU
rnacentral:rRNA from 1 species